rnacentral:tRNA from 1 species
GACAGCUUGGCCGAGUGGUUAAGGCGCUAGCCUGCUAAGUUAGUUGGGGAAACCCGCGUGAGUUCGAAUCUCACAGCUGUCG